UACGGGGGGGGGCAAGCGUUGUUCGGAAUUACUGGGCGUAAAGGGCUCGUAGGCGGCCAACUAAGUCGGAUGUGAAAUCCCCAAGCUUAACUUGGGAACUGCAUCCGAUACUGGAUGGCUUGAAUCCGGGAGAGGGAUGUGGAAUUGCCAGGUGUAGCGGUGAAAUGCGUAGAGAUCGGGCGGAACACCAGCGGCGAAGGCGGCGACCUGGCCCGUGACCUG
rnacentral:rRNA from 1 species